rnacentral:pre_miRNA from 1 species
GUCCAGUUUUCCCAGGAUUCCCUGUUGUUAAUACCAAGGAUUCCUGGAAAGGCUGUCCC